AUUGAACGCUGGCGGCAUGCCUUACACAUGCAAGUCGAACGGCAGCACGGGAGCAAUCCUGGUGGCGAGUGGCGAACGGGUGAGUAAUGUAUCGGAACGUGCCCAGUCGUGGGGGAUAACGUAGCGAAAGCUACGCUAAUACCGCAUACGAUCUAUGGAUGAAAGCGGGGGACCGUAAGGCCUCGCGCGAUUGGAGCGGCCGAUACCAGAUUAGGUAGUUGGUGGGGUAAAGGCCUACCAAGCCGACGAUCUGUAGCUGGUCUGAGAGGACGACCAGCCACACUGGGACUGAGACACGGCCCAGACUCCUACGGGAGGCAGCAGUGGGGAAUUUUGGACAAUGGGCGCAAGCCUGAUCCAGCAAUGCCGCGUGCAGGAUGAAGGCCUUCGGGUUGUAAACUGCUUUUGUACGGAGCGAAAAGGCUCUCUCUAAUACAGGGGGCUCAUGACGGUACCGUAAGAAUAAGCACCGGCUAACUACGUGCCAGCCGCCGCAGUAACAC
rnacentral:rRNA from 1 species